GAUUCCGUAGUGUAGCGGUUAUCACGUUCGCCUAACACGCGAAAGGUCCCCGGUUCGAGCCCGGGCGGAAUCA
rnacentral:tRNA from 1 species